AACGAACGCUGGCGGCAUGCCUAACACAAUGCAAGUCGAACGAGACCUUCGGGUCUAGUGGCGCACGGGUGCGUAACGCGUGGGAAUCUGCCCUUGGGUUCGGAAUAACAGUUAGAAAUGACUGCUAAUACCGGAUAAUGUCUUCGGACCAAAGAUUUAUCGCCCAGGGAUGAGCCCGCGUAGGAUUAGCUAGUUGGUGAGGUAAAGGCUCACCAAGGCGACGAUCCUUAGCUGGUCUGAGAGGAUGAUCAGCCACACUGGGACUGAGACACGGCCCAGACUCCUACGGGAGGCAGCAGUGGGAUAUUGGACAAUGGGCGAAAGCCUGAUCCAGCAAUGCCGCGUGAGUGAUGAA
rnacentral:rRNA from 1 species